GCCGUGGUAGCGCAAUGGUAGCGCGUUGCUUUCCGGAGUUGCAGUCACGUGACCCACUUAGGCAAAGGUUGUGGGUUCGAUCCCCAUCCUCGGUA